GCCAGCUUAGCUCAGUUGGUAGAGCAACGCACUCGUAACGCGUAGGUCGUAGGUUCGAAUCCUAUAGCUGGCACUA
rnacentral:tRNA from 4 species